rnacentral:lncRNA from 1 species
UUUUUUCUUUUUUUUUUUGUCUUUUUUAUGCUAUUUCUUGGGCCGCUCCCGCGGCAUAUGGAGGUUCCCAGGCUAGGGGUCGAAUCGGAGCUGUAGCCACUGGCCUUCGCCAGAGCCACAGCAACGCGGGAUCCAAGCCGCGUCUGCAGCCUACACCACAGCUCAUGGCAACGCCGGAGCCUCAACCCACUGAGCAAGGGCAGGGACCGAACCCGCAACCUCAUGGUUCCUAGUCGGAUUCGUUAACCACUGCGCCACGACAGGAACUCCCGAAUCAGUUUUCUUAUUAGCAAAAUGUUAGUAAGACAGUAAUAAGAGAAAAAUAUAUUUCCCUAGGACAUGUUCUGUUAAUAAAUCACCUAAGAGAUCCCAGAAAAGAGGAAAAGAGCUAUCGUUUUUAUUCAGGCAUGGCACUGUGAAAUUUAAGGUAUAGUGAUAUCUACUGCUUGAGUCUAACAAUUGUCUUAACCAUUGGCAAGAUUUGCAGCUCAAAGGAGUGGAAGAGGUCUCUCUUUGUAUAUAAUAUACAAAGUUGCUAGAAAGUUUCAAGACGUUUAGUUUCCCCUGAAAUCUUAAGGACAUCACUUACCCAUCAGCUACUCUGAAGCUACCGGUCAGCAUCCUCAGAAUUUACCUUUCUUUAAAAAGGCAUAGAAGUGCUUAUAGAUGCUGUUCAUCUUAUUUCAUAAAACAGACCCAAGCUUCUCUCGUGGUGUAGAACAUACAAUAUAUAACACUUUACACUUGAUGGGCAGCUGUAGAUAAUACACUGUGAGGACAUUCAGAGAUGCUAACUUCUUUUAACCACAGGAGUCUAAAUCUCUGUUAAAAAGAGAACCAGAAAAGGCUGACUUAGACAUUUGACCCAGAAGAUGAUCUUCAUGCCCAGCUGAAGUUAAGAGCUUCUGCUCCCUCAGAAAGUGUGUGUCUUGAAGCAUCGUGCUGGGCACUGAGGAUGCUCAGAUAAAACAACUGGCCUCCAAUUCUCUGGCCUCUCUGAUGUUUCGGAAAGGAAUUGUUUCAAAAGAUGUACUUGGCAUAAUACCCUCAAGGUCCAUCCAUGUAGCAAAUGGCAAGAUUUCAUCUUAUGGCUGAGCAGUACUCCAUUAUACAGAGAUACCACGUCUUUGUCCAUUCAUCUCUUGAUGGGCAAUUAGGUAGUUUCCCUAUCUUGGCUAUUAUAAACAACUCUGUGAUGAACAUAAGGGUGCAUAUAUCUUUUUCUAAUUAGAGGGUAUUUUGUUAAGUAAAAUCAAUCAGAUGGAGAAAGACAAGGACCCCAUGAUUCCACUCAUAUGUGGAUUUUAAAACAAAAUACAACAAAAUAGAUGAACGAACCAAACCAAGUAGAUACAGGGACCAGAGUAGUAUGCGAAGAGGAUACGGAGGGAAGGGGGAGGGGAUGGGGAGGGUGAAACGGGUAAAGGGAAUCAACUGCAUGUUGAUGGAUGGAAACUAAACUUUUGGUGGCGAGCACGCUGUCGUCAUACAGAACUGAAAAUAGUUCCCUGUACUAGACAGCAGGCCCUUGUUCUUUAUCUAUCUUGUACUGAGCAGUUUGUAUCUGCUAAUCCCAAACUAUUAAUCUAUCCCUUCCCCUUUGGCAGCUAUAAAUUUGUUUUCUAUGUAAGUUCAUUUGCAUCAAAUUUUAGAUUCCACACAUAUGUAAUAUGAUUGGAUAUUUGUCUUGCUCUGACUUGCUUGGUAUGAUAAACUCUAGAUCCAUCCACACUGCUAUAAAUGGCAGUAUUUCAUUUUUUAUGGCUGAAUACACACACAUAUGUACACAUACAUACACCACAUCUUCUUUAUCCAUUCGUCUGUGGAUGAACACUUAAACAGUGCUGCCGUGAACACUGGGGUGCAUGGAUCUUUCAGAACCUAGUUUUCUCUAGACAUAUAUGCUCAGGAGUGGGAAACCUAGAUCAUAUGGUAAUUCUAUGUUUAGUUUUCAAGGAACCUCUGUAUUAUUUUUCCAUAAUGGCUACACCAAUUUACACUCCCACUCUGUGUAGGAGGGUUCCGUUUUCUCCACACCAUCUCCACCAAUUUAUUAUGUGUACAGUCUUUGGCGACUGUUCUUUGAGAACUGCAUAAAGCUCUGAAUCCUUUUCCCAAAAAAGAUGCAUCUAUUCAAACCUAUACCAAAUAUGUAGUGUAAAUUUUAGGGCAUUUACAACACCCCUUUGGAGACGCUUAAGAACCUCCUAACACAGAGUAAAUGAGGAAGAAGACUAAAACUGAAACCCUGAGGGACCCCAUCACUAAAAAGACUGGCAAAGAAUGACAGUCCAGCAAAGCAUAUUAGGGAUGACUAAUGAGACAGUUAGAUGGGAAGCCAGGAGAGAAUGACAUCAUGGAUUCGAGAAAAUUACACGUGUCCAGAAAUAGGAAAUAGGCAGCACUACCAAAUGCUGUUCAGAAGUUACACGGAAUGCGAAUUAAACACAGGCCAUCAGUGUUCACUGGUCUAGAGCUGCUAGUCCAGAAGCCAGACUCUGAUAAUAAGAUGAGAAAAUGCAGAAGAAGAUUUGGAAUGCAUACAGACACAUUUGCAAGAAACCUGGGCAACAAGAGCGUUUGAAUGAAUAACAGAGGUAAGACAACAGAUUUUUAUUGACUGUUUACCCACAGGUUAAGGACAAAACGUGAGCAUGCUUUUUGGUUGGAGGGAAAGAGCAGAGGAAAAAGACUGAGAGAAAGAGAAGAUGAACAUUAAUUCAGUAACCUUAGAAUUCAUCAGGCUGAUGUUGUAGAGGAGGAUGGUCGUUUUCAAUGAGAUUGAACAGAAAGAAAUCCUCUCAGCUGUAGAUAAUAUUGACUAUGAUGGAGAGAGAAGAUUGUACUGGAUGGCAUUUACCUUCUCUGUACAUUAUAAGCGAAGGUGAGAUGGUGUUAAGUGUUAAUGGCAGAGGUGGAAAAGGUAGGCUCAUGUCACACAUACUGGUACACUAUUCCUUUUCCCCAUCCCAUGCCAAAUACCCAGCACAAUGCACAGCGCACAACAAAAGCUCGAUAAACACCGAAUGACUCCAAUUUUAGGAAUUGAGGCACAGAGCAAAAUGCAGAACAGCUGACAUGUCCAAUGAGCAUAAAAGCUGACCAGGGAAAGGGCAAAGGUGGCACAACUAUUUUACGGUGUCCUUAAAAACAGAUGCCCUAUUCAGUGCUCUGGGGUGCUCUGCAGGCAUCUUAGCAGGAAAAGAUACACAGCCUUCUCAGGAGCGAGUCAAUUCUGCCCUCCUCAAACAUCCUUAGAAAACAGGUAUCCCUUUAAUGAAUAAGGAAUGGCUGACAGUUGGUAGAUAAGACAUGUAACUUUCUUAUCCAACACUCAAUACCCUUCAGCAGAGAGGGACAACACAGAAAAAUUAGUUAAUUACACUGUCAGUUGGCCGCUUGGCUCUGCAGACCACACAAAAGAAAGCAGCAAGCAAGAGGGCCAGCAGACUUCUCUACAGCAUGUGUCAGUCUAGAUAAACGAGAGGGCUAGGUAAUCUGUGCUUUGGAUUCUACAGAUGACGUCCUCAUGUCCUAAAACCAUUCAAAUCUGAAAACAAAAAUCCCUCUCAAAUCCACAAUAAUGGCCACUGAACAACAGGGACUGGAAGGCAUAUUAUUCAGUCUCUUC